UACAGAGGGGGCAAGCGUUGUUCGGAAUUACUGGGCGUAAAGGGCGCGUAGGCGGCCUGCUAAGUCGAACGUGAAAUCCCUGGGCUCAACCCAGGAACUGCGUCCGAUACUGGUUGGCUUGAAUCCGGGAGAGGGACGUGGAAUUCCAGGUGUAGCGGUGAAAUGCGUAGAUAUCAAGAGGAACACCUGCGGCGAAGGCGGGUUGCUGGGCCGACACUGACGCUGAUGCGCGAAAGCCAGGGGAGCGAACGGG
rnacentral:rRNA from 1 species